UUUCCUGAUGACAAAAGGCCAUAAGGCCUGAUCUAUAACCCAGCUCGUCGAAUGCCUCACCUAUUAACGCUUAGAGGCAUUGUGAGAUAAACUUUACUCUGAUAGC
rfam:Fusarium oxysporum Fo5176 contig03443, whole genome shotgun sequence.